AUUGAACGCUGGCGGCAGGCUUAACACAUGCAAGUCGAGCGGGGGAGGUUGCUUCGGUAACUGACCUAGCGGCGGACGGGUGAGUAAUGCUUAGGAAUCUGCCUAUUAGUGGGGGACAACAUUCCGAAAGGGAUGCUAAUACCGCAUACGCCCUACGGGGGAAAGCAGGGGAUCUUCGGACCUUGCGCGAAUAGAUGAGACUAAGUCGGAUUAGCUAGUUGGGGGGGUAAAGGCCUACCAAGGCGACGAUCGGUAGCGGGUCUGAGAGGUGGAUCCGGCACGCUGGGAGUGAGCCACGGCCCAGACGCCGACGGGAGGCAGCAGUGGGGAAUAUUGGACAAUGGGCCGAAGCCUGAUCCAGCCAUGCCGCGUGUGUGAAGAAGGCCUUUUGGUUGUAAAGCACUUUAAGCGAGGAGGAGGCUCUUAAGGUUAAUACCCUUGAUGAGUGGACGUUACUCGCAGAAUAAGCACCGGCUAACUCUGUGCCAGCAGCCGCGGUAACAC
rnacentral:rRNA from 1 species